UCUUAGUGGCGCAGCUAACGCACUAAGUUGACCGCCUGGGGAGUACGGCCGCAAGGUUAAAACUCAAAUGAAUUGACGGGGGCCCGCACAAGCGGUGGAGCAUGUGGUUUAAUUCGACGCAACGCGAAGAACCUUACCUGGCCUUGACAUGCAGAGAACUUUCCAGAGAUGGAUUGGUGCCUUCGGGAACUCUGACACAGGUGCUGCAUGGCCGUCGUCAGCUCGUGUCGUGAGAUGUUGGGUUAAGUCCCGUAACGAGCGCAACCCCUAUCCCUAGUUGCUAGCAGUUCGGCUGAGAACUCUAGGGAGACUGCCGGUGACAAACCGGAGGAAGGUGGGGAUGACGUCAGGUCAUCAUGGCCCUUACGGCCAGGGCUACACACGUGCUACAAUGGUGCGUACAGAGGGCUGCAAACCCGCGAGGGGGAGCUAAUCUCACAAAACGCAUCGUAGUCCGGAUCGGAGUCUGCAACUCGACUCCGUGAAGUCGGAAUCGCUAGUAAUCGCGAAUCAGAAUGUCGCGGUGAAUACGUUCCCGGGCCUUGUACACACCGCCCGUCACACCAUGGGAGUGGAUUGCACCAGAAGUGGUUAGUCUAACCUUCGGGAGGA
rnacentral:rRNA from 1 species